AAGUCGUAACAAGGUCUCCGUAGGUGAACCUGCGGAGGGAUCAUUAAUGUGAAAGGGCCUCCGGGCCCCACCACAAACCCUUUGUUGACCACACUUUGUUGCCUCGGGGCCGCCCUCGCGGGCGCCCCAGAGGACCGUAACCAAAACCCUGCGUCUUUGCGUCGGAGUAACUUGAUAAAUCAAUCAAAACUUUCAACAACGGAUCUCUUGGUUCUG
rnacentral:misc_RNA from 1 species